AUUGAACGCUGGCGGCAGGCCUAACACAUGCAAGUCGUACGAGUGGCGGACGGGUGAGUAACGUCUGGGAAACUGCCUGAUGGAGGGGGAUAACUACUGGAAACGGUAGCUAAUACCGCAUACCAUCAGAUGUGCCCAGAUGGGAUUAGCUUGUUGGGAGGGUAACGGCUCACAAAGGCUACGAUCCCUAGCUGGUCUGAGAGGAUGACCGGCCACACUGGAACUGGUACGCGGUCCAGACUCCUACGGGAGGCAGCAGUGGGUAAUAUUGCACGUGGGGCGCAAGCCUGGUGGAGCCAUGCCGCGUGUAUGAAGAAGGCCUUCGGGUUGUAAAGUACUUUCAGCGGGGAGGCGUUACCCGCAGAAGAAGCACCGGCUAACUCGGUGCCAGCGGCCGCGGUAAUUC
rnacentral:rRNA from 1 species